UACAUCAAGUUCGUUGGGCAAUACUUUGACUUUUCAGACGAAAAUUCUUGAUUGAAUAUCAUUUGAAUGUUUUUCAUUCUGGCAUCAUGACCUAAACAAGGCAAAGGGUUUUCAAUUCCAUUUAGCAUGAAUUUAUUAGGCAUCUUUGCCGUGCCAAGCUCUGUGCUGGACACUAUUAGCGACUGGGGGACAGGAGAAGCAACCCUAAGUUGUGCUGAAUCUAAACAACAAAAUGAUGUCCUUCCGUGCCUCGUGACACUGAUCUUAUUUGGACACUCCUUAAAGAAUGUAGUCUCUUCUCUCAAGGAAGUAACAGUUUAGUGCAGAGGAUAAGAAUUCCACAUAUCAAACAACUGAAAGGCAAGAGAAGAAGAAAAUUACUCAGCGCUGAAUCAUUUGGUGAGGUUAACUGAUGAGGGGCUCAGGCACGGAAGGAUCUGGGAGCAGCACUGGUGGACAGUGGCUACUGUAGACGGAGGGAGUCAGAUGAGCUGGAAGAAUGGAUGGGCGCUGGCCAGGCAGAGCCAGGCAAGGACUUUCUGUGUGUGGAUAAGUUCUGUGACCCCAUGCGCGUCCACAAACGCUAAAAAAUGAAACAAAACAAAGAACAACAACAACAAAAACCCAGAGGGGCCAGUUGACAAGUAGAAGAAGAGAGUUUGCAAUUAUUCGUGAUAUAUAUAUGUGAAGUAGUAAUAUUUUAAAAUAUUUGUCAACCAAACAAGUAAGCCAAAAAAAACAAAAACUAACUAAAAUGACAGGGUUUUAAUAAAUUGAUGUCCUGAGCCUUAUUUAGUCCAUAAUGUUUUUUAUGAAUGGUAUGAAGAAAGGAUAAUAGCACAUAUAUGGACCCUUUAUACAUAUACUGUCUCAUUUAAUUUAUAUAACAAUGCUGUGAAGUAGGAAUUGCAUUUGGUUACUGGUAAAGAGACGGGAAAAAUAGCGGCCGAAACAAGAAAGGGGUUUAUUUUUUUCACAUUAAAAUCUCCAGAGAUGGUCAAUCCUGGUCCAGCUCCAUGGCUAUCAGAGACCCAGGCUUCUUUCACCUCUCUCUUCACCAGACACAGUGAAGGGCCUCUAGUCUCUUGAUAGCCUCAUGGUAGCAAGAUGGCUAUUUUAGCUCCCACCAUCACAUCCAUGUUCCAGGUGGGAGGAGGAAGAAAGGAAGCUGAAAUGCAGAGGGGCACACCUCCUAACUCUCUUUAAAGGAGAUUCUAGGUUCUCUGUAAAGAGAUUUCCAAAAAACCCACUUCAGUGAUUUCUGAACCAUGAUCUCACCCCAUCUGCAAGGAACGAUGGGAAAGGCACUUCAGUUGAUCAUAUUCUGCCCGCAUGGACAGAGUCUGUGCUGGGAAGGAGGGCAGGGAGGCGGUACCUCCUAUCAGCCAGGCUGCGGGAAGCGAGCCCCCAAGGUGCCGAGUGGCCUCCCCGAGCCACACGCCGGGUCCCGAGCGCCGCUCCGUCCGCCCUCUGCGCAGGCCCGCGCCGGCCCUUCGAGGCGUGCGGCCCCCGAGGCUGCCUCAGGCCUUCCCGCGGACGUGCUGAGCUGUCCUCCUCGCGGGGUGGACCCUUUCCGGCUGCCGGGAGCUGCUGCGUCAGUGGCGGGGGAACCCGACCGAGCGAGCUCCCACCUGUGCGCCUGGGCGGCCCGUGCGGUGGGGCGUGGGAGGCGCGCUUCCUGGGCGUCCUGGGAGCCGAGCUUCUGCGCAGACGCGGCGUCUGCUGUCCCACGUGCUUCCUUUCAGCUCUGCUGACCUGGCCCCUCCCUUCAGCCCCUCCCGCUUAACAUUUAGCCAUUUGUCUUUCUUUCCCCGACAUCCACCUGUCUGCCUCUCCCGGAUCUGACGCCCAGUUACGAACUCCGUUCUCCAGAGAGAUUGUGAGCAAAGACACGUGCAGGGGACGUGUUACUCAGCCUCAAUCCUCAAGUGCAAACUAUUUUUUUUAACAUUUACUCUGCACAGAUCACUGUGCCAGGAACUACCGGGUUGAUUACGAAACAUAAGGUAGAGUCACGCUUGACCUCAAGGAGUAAACAACCUCAUCGCGGAAAUGGAAGGCGCACUAAGCGACAGGUAAUCGUGCAAGGAAGUGUGGAAGCGCCGUGAGAAGAGAGAGCACCGUGAGCGAAAGUGUUGGGAGGAAAGACAAGCCGCUUUUGACUGAGGAGGUCGGGGACAGCGUCACGAGACGAGAGAGAAUGGAUUUGAUCCCUGUUGAAAUUAGGAAAGGGGAAAGGAGCCUGCUGUUCCUUUGCACUGGCCCCUCCAUCAGCGCUUUUACAAGGAUGAGAGAAAAGGGAACCGACACCAGUCCGUUUUAUGAAUUGCGUUUUACCAGUCUUACUAAAGGCUUCAGAGAAAAAGAAUCUGCCAGCAAUCUCCAGAAUAUGGCCUUCGGUUAUUAAGUGGUUGUGUCCAAGAGGACAAGCAAGUGGUGAGGGCGACUCUAGGAGCACUGUGGGUGCAGGUGUCACACGCUGAACAGGGGGCACUGCGGCUCUUCUCUCUGUGCCUGACUUUCUGUCAUUGAUGCUUGUGAAUGAGGCAGCUUGCAAAAUGGCGGUGGUAGUCUUGGUUCUGUCCAGUCCUAGGAAGAGAGUUAGGUAAGGAUGUUAGUAGUGGUUUCACUUCCCAAUAAGCAAAUUCCUUUAAGCAGUCUAAUAUUAUCUUAUUUGGAGUUAUUGAGGAUAAUUUUGGGUUGCAAGUAAUAGACAACCUAACCCAAAGAGGCUUAAGCGUGAAAGGAAUUAGUUCACAGUGGUUACAAUGGACUAAUGUUUGUGUCCCCCAAAUUCAUAUGUUAAAUCCUAACCCCCAAAGUGCUAGUAUGAGGAGGUGGGGCCUUGGGAGGUGAUUAGGUCAUGAAGGUGGAGCCCUCAUGAAUGGGAUUAGUGCCCUUAGAAAAGAGGUCCCAGAGAGCUCCCUCACCCUCUCUGCACCAAGUGAGGACACAAUGAGAAGUGUGUGACACGGAAGAGAAUCCUUACCAGAACCCAACCAUGCCGGCGCUCUGAUCUCAGACUUCCGGCCUCCAGAGCCACGAGAAAUAAAUUUCUGUUGUUUAUAAGCUACUCGGUCUCUGGUACUUUGUUCUAGCAGCCCUGACUAAGACGGGGUCGUACAUGGCUUAGUGAGGCUGGAUCCAUGGACUAACGCGAUACAACCAGGACACUGUGUCUCUCCAUCUCUCAACUCUGUUCCCAGCGCACUGUGUUAUUUCUUACACUCCCACGCUAGCAAAAUGGCUCUCAGUAGCUGCAAGUUUCAAGGUUCAAUUUCAGUGGAAAAGAGCACAUGCUUCCUCUCACAGCUGCAGCAAAGCUUUCCAGAGUGUAUCUCUUCAGAUCUGAUGAGAUGCUUGGUUUUCCAGGCUGAGUCCUUCCAUGGAGUUCGGUAUUCAGUCAACUACAUUCAAAGUGCACGGACUGAGAAUGGAAGAGAGAGUGAUUCCCAUGGUACCAAUAUGAGAAGAAGGGAAGGGAUGCAGUGGGUGGGGUGGGAACAGUAAGUAUCUACAGCUGUGAUGUUCUAAAAUGCCUCUCUUUUAGCAAUACACCGCACAGCUGCCCCCAUCCUUCUCAACUUCCCAGUUCCAUUGUCACAUGACAUUUCUGAGAAGAGAAUACAUAUAGCCCCAAAUACCUAGUACCAGAGCCUAGAAUAUAAUUUUAGGCUAAUGUUUUGAGAAUAUGGGGGACUAGUCUUGGAACAAAUGCUCCAUGCUGAGGGGUUCACUUUCACUAUAAUAGUUCAUCCUCAGAGCAGCCUUUUGAAGCAGACAUAUUCUUAUUUUUUAGAUAAAGAAACUUCAGUUGAAAGAGGUUAAGCAUCUCACCCAGUGUCACAUAGCUAAGCAUUCGGACA
rnacentral:lncRNA from 1 species